rnacentral:rRNA from 1 species
UACGUAGGGUGCAAGCGUUGUUCGGAAUUACUGGGCGUAAAGGGCGCGUAGGCGGCCUGUUAAGUCGGACGUGAAAUCCCUCGGCUCAACCGGGGAACUGCGUCCGAUACUGGCGGGCUUGAAUUCGGGAGAGGGAUGUGGAAUUCCAGGUGUAGCGGUGAAAUGCGUAGAUAUCUGGAGGAACACCGGUGGCGAAGGCGGCAUCCUGGACCGACAUUGACGCUGAGGCGCGAAAGCCAGGGGAGCAAACGGG